rnacentral:lncRNA from 10 species
AUUUUUGUAGCUACUGUAAAUUGGGUUGUUUUUUCUUCAUUUCUUUUUCAGAUAGUUCAGUACUAAUGUAUUAAAAACCUACUGAUUUUCAUGUGUUGAUUUUUUAACCUGCAACAUUACUGAAUUUCUGUAUUAGUUCUAACAGACUCUAUUUAUCUAUCUAUCAUUUAUCUAUCUACCUAUCUAUCUAUCUAUCUAUCUAUCUAUCUAUCUAUCUAAUCUAGCUAUCUGGGUUUUCCCUAUAUAUGAUAUGUUAUAUGCAAAUAAAGAUAAUUGGACUUCAUCUUUUCCAAUUUGGGUGCUUUUUAUUUCUUUAUCUUGCCAAAUUGCUCUGAUGGGGAAUUCUAGCACAUGUUGAAUAGAAGCAGUAAAAGUGGGAAUUCUUGUUUUUUUCCUGAUCUUAGAGGAAAAGCUUCUCCACUGAGUACGACGUUAGCUGUGGGUCUGUCAUAUAUUGCCAUUAUUGUGUUGAGGUAUGUCUACAAAAUUUGUUGAGAGUUUUUAUUAUGAAGAGGUGUUGAAUUUUGUUGAAUGCUUCUUCUGCAUCCGUUAGGAUGAUCAUGUGGUUUUGUCCUUUUUUUCUGUUAAUGUGGUGUAUCACAUAUAUUGCUUUACUUCCAAUAAAUCAUUCCUGCAUCCUGGGAUGAAUUCCACUUGAUUAUGGUGGAUGACAUUUUUAAUGUACUGUUGAACUUGGUUUGCUAGUAUUUUGUUUAGGACAUUUGCUUCUAUGUUUGUCAGGUAUAUUGGCCUGCAGUAUUCCUUGUAGUGUCUUUGUUUCUGGUAUCAGAAUAAUGGUGGCCUUGUCAAAUGAGUUUGGAAGUUUUCCCUCCACUUCAAUUUUCUGGAAUAGUUUGAGAAGAAUUGGUAUUAUUUCUUUUAAUAUUUGGUAGAAUUCAGCAGUGAUGCCAUUAGGUUCUGGGUUUAUCUCUGAUGGAGACUUAUAAUUACUGAAUUGGACAUUUGGGUUUUCCAUUGUUUGGCUAUGCAAGUUUUUAUACAAUUGUCUUGAUAUGUUCCUAGUAGUCAAAUUGUUGGAUUAUAUGGUCACUCUGUUAAACUUUUUGAGAAACUGCAAACUGUUUCUAAAGAGGCUGCACCAUU